AGGACGAACGCUGGCGGCGCGCUUAACACAUGUAAGUCGAGCGAGAACCCAGGCUUCGGUCUGGGGGAAAGCGGCGAACGGGUGAGUAACACGUGGGUAAUCUGCCCUCGACAUCGGGAUAGCCCGGGGAAACCCGGAUUAAUACCGAAUGGCCCAUCAGCUUUUCGAAGCGGAUGGGAAAGGUAGCUUCGGCCUCCGGUCGAGGAGGAGCCCGCGGCGGAUUAGCUUGUUGGUGAGGUAACGGCUCACCAAGGCUUCGAUCCGUAGCUGGUCUGAGAGGACGAUCAGCCACACUGGGACUGAGACACGGCCCAGACUCCUACGGGAGGCAGCAGUGGGGAAUCUUGCGCAAUGGGCGAAAGCCUGACGCAGCGACGCCGCGUGAGGGAAGAAGGCCUUCGGGUUGUAAACCUCUUUCAGGAGGGACGAAGCCACUCGGGUUAAUAGCCCAGAGGGUGACGGUACCUCCGAGAAGAAGCCCCGGCUAACUACGCGCCAGCAGCCGCGGU
rnacentral:rRNA from 1 species